GACGAACCGUGCGAACGUUGUUCGGAAUCACUGGGCUUAAAGGGCGCGUAGGCGGUUGAUCAAGUCUGGGGUGAAAUCUUUCGGCUUAACCGGAAAAGUGCCUUGGAUACUGGUCAGCUGGAGGGAGGUAGGGGCAGUUGGAACUUCCAGUGGAGCGGUGAAAUGCGUUGAUAUUGGAAGGAACGCCGGUGGCGAAAGCGAGCUGCUGGACCUCUUCUGACGCUGAUGCGCGAAAGCUAGGGGAGCGAACGGG
rnacentral:rRNA from 1 species